GGUUGGGUAGCUCAGCGGAAGAGCAUCCCUGUACAGUCGGGAGAGUCCCAGGUUUGAUUCCUGGUCUGACCU